rnacentral:rRNA from 1 species
GAUGAACGCUGGCGGCGUGCUUAACACAUGCAAGUCGAACGAAGAGGGUUAGAAUGAGAGCUUCGGCAGGAUUUCUUUCCAUCUUAGUGGCGGACGGGUGAGUAAUGUGUGGGCAACCUGCCCUGUACUGGGGAAUAAUCAUUGGAAACGAUGACUAAUACCGCAUGUGGUCCUCGGAAGGCAUCUUCUGAGGAAGAAAGGAUUUAUUCGGUACAGGACGGGCCCGCAUCUGAUUAGCUAGUUGGUAAGGUAACGGCUUACCAAGGCGACGAUGCAUAGCCGAGUUGAGAGACUGAUCGGCCACAUUGGGACUGAGACACGGCCCAA